AACGAACGCUGGCGGCAGGCUUAACACAUGCAAGUCGAACGCCCCGCAAGGGGAGUGGCAGACGGGUGAGUAACGCGUGGGAAUCUACCUAGUUCUACGGAACAACUGAGGGAAACUUCAGCUAAUACCGUAUACGCCCUACGGGGGAAAGAUUUAUCGGAAUUAGAUGAGCCCGCGUAAGAUUAGCUAGUUGGUGAGGUAAUGGCUCACCAAGGCGACGAUCUUUAGCUGGUCUGAGAGGAUGAUCAGCCACACUGGGACUGAGACACGGCCCAGACUCCUACGGGAGGCAGCAGUGGGGAAUAUUGGACAAUGGGCGCAAGCCUGAUCCAGCCAUGCCGCGUGAGUGAUGAAGGCCUUAGGGUUGUAAAGCUCUUUCAGUGGGGGAGAUAAUGACGGUACCCACAGAAGAAGCCCCGGCUAACUUCGUGCCAGCAGCCGCGGUAA
rnacentral:rRNA from 1 species